rnacentral:ncRNA from 1 species
AUAAAAUUGUUAUAAAUUAAUUUUAAUAUAAUAAUAAAAAAUUUAAUUAUGGUUUUAAAAUUAAUUUAAAAAUUUAUUUAUAUAUAAUUUGAUGAAAAAUACUAUUAAUUAAAUAUUAAAGUAUUGUGAUUUAGUAUUUAGUAUUAAAGAAUUUAAUAAAUUAAAUUUUAGAAAUUUUUAUAAUUUAGAUUAAUAAUUGUGCCAGCAAUCGUGGUUAGACAAUUUAGAUAAAUUAAUUAUUGUAAAUUUAAAUAAAUAGUAAUUUAAAUAUUAAAAAUUAAAUUUAUUAGGUGAAAUUAAUUAAAUUUAAUUAUAGAUAUAUUUAUUAAAUAUAUGAAUUUUAGAAAAUUUUAAUAAAACUAGGAUUAGAUACCCUAUUAUAAAAUUUAAAAAAUAAGUUUGAGUAUUAAAUGAUUAAUCAUUAAAUUUAAAUAAUUUGGCGGUAUUUUAAUUUUAUUAGAGGAACUUGUUUAAUAAUUGAUAAUCCACGAUAGGUAGAACUUUAAUUUAAAUUUUUAUAUUGUUGUUUUAAGGAUAUUUUUGGAGGAUAUAUAUUCAUUAUAUUAAUAAAAAUAAUAAUUCAGAUCAAAAUGGAGUGAAUAUUAAAGAAAAAAAUGAGUUACAAUAAAUUUAAUUUAUUAUGAAUUUAUAAUUAAAAAAUUAUAAUGAAGGUGGAUUUAAAAGUAAAAUUAAAUAAUUAUUUUAUUUGAUUAAAAUUUUAAAAUAUGUACAAAUUGCCCGUCGUUCCCUUUGAAAGAAGGGGUAAGUCGUAACAAAGUAAAAGUACUGGAAAGUGUUUUUAGAAGAA